rnacentral:rRNA from 1 species
GCUUUUUAUCAUUAAGUUAUCUACUUGGGUAACUGUGGCAAUUCUAGAGCUAAUACAUGCACGCAAGCUCGGACCUUAUGGGAAGAGCGCAUUUAUUAGACCAAAACCAAUCAAGCUUCGGUUUGUGUUUUGGUGACUCUGAAUAACUAAGUUGAUCGCACAGUCUUAGUACUGGCGACGUAUUUUUCAAAUGUCUGCCUUAUCAACUUUCGAUGGUAGGUUAUACGCCUACCAUGGUUAUAACGGGUAACGGAGAAUAAGGGUUCGACUCCGGAGAGGGAGCCUGAGAAAUGGCUACCACAUCCAAGGAAGGCAGCAGGCGCGCAAAUUACCCAAUCCCAGAACGGGGAGGUAGUGACGAAAAAUAACGAGGUAGUCCACUUUGUGGCCUGCCAUCGGAAUGGGUACAAUUUAAAUCUUUUAACGAGGAUCUAUUAGAGGGCAAGUCUGGUGCCAGCAGCCGCGGUAAUUCCAGCUCUAAUAGCGUAUAUUAAAGUUGUUGUGGUUAAAACGCCCGUAGUUGAAUCUUCGGUCUUGAAGCUCGGUAACUCGUAAGGGUUUAACUGAGUCUUCUGGCCUAAAUUUUAGUAUUCUCCUGAUGCUCUUUAUUGAGUGUCUUGAGUUGCUAGAACGUUUACUUUGAAAAAAUUAGAGUGCUAAAAGCAGGCUAUAUGCUUGAAUAAAGUGCAUGGAAUAAUGGAAUAGGACUUUAGUUUUAUUUUGUUGGUUUUCGAAAUUAAAGUAAUGAUUAAGAGGAACAGACGGGGGCAUUAGUAUUGUUGCGUUAGAGGUGAAAUUCUUGGAUCGCAGCAAGACUAACAACUGCGAAAGCAUUUGCCAAGAAUGUUUUCAUUAAUCAAGGACGAUAGUUAGAGGUUCGAAGGCGAUCAGAAAAACCGCCCAAA